rnacentral:misc_RNA from 1 species
CGUCAGAGACCCAAGAGCGG